UAACAGAUCUCAGUCUCUUUACCCUGACACAGAUGCCCUGCUAUGGUAGAGGCUUAGCAAAACUGGAAAUCUGCAAGGAUCUGUAAGAGUUCUGCAAUUUGAGGCUAAAUGACGCAUUUUUCAUUGACUUCUUGCUAUUCCAGGAUGAAUAAGAGAUACUUACAGAAAGCAACAAAAGGAAAACUGCUAAUAAUAAUAUUUGUUGUAACGCUGUGGGGGAAAUUAGCAUCUGGGGCAAAUCAUCAUAAAGCUCACCAUGUUAAAACUGGGACCUGUGAAGUGGUGGCACUUCACAGAUGCUGCAAUAAGAAUAAGAUAGAAGAAAGAUCACAGACAGUGAAGUGUUCCUGCUUCCCUGGGCAGGUAGCAGGUACCACCCGGGCAGCUCCUUCUUGUGUUGAUGCUUCGAUAGUGGAGCAGAAAUGGUGGUGCCACAUGCAACCAUGUCUUGAAGGGGAGGAAUGUAAAGUUCUUCCAGAUCGUAAGGGAUGGAGCUGUUCCUCUGGGAAUAAAGUGAAAACAACUAGGCUAUGGCAGUAUUCCUGGAGACAAAUGUGAAUGCACUUCCUCAAAAUGCCAGCAGUGGAAGCUGGUAAGCAAGUGGGGAAAAAUCACCAGAGAAAUCUCUGAAGCUUGGGACAAAGGCAGAAAACACAUCAGUACUACACUAACAGAACAGCAGGUACUCUUAUAGAGAAGAUAAAAUUACAGGUAAGGAAAUAAUUUACAUUUCUAUUUUGAACUUGUCCAAAUGGCUUGUUACUCUCCAUUCAAAAUACCAGGAAAAACCCUGCAGCGUAAAAUUUGAAGAUGAAAAAGAUCUCAAAUUUGAUUAACUUGGACUACCUGAUUUUUUAGUGGGGAUAAUUGGAAGUUCUGACCUAAUUUCUAGAAAAAUAUAUUAAAAUAUGAAAAUUCUUCAUGCCUAUUAGACAGUUUAGAACCUCAGUCUAGUUUUAAAACAAGGCUGGAUUUGAGUUUUUUAAAUUCGUUUUGCUUUUUUGUAUCUAGAAUGUAAACACAGGAAAAUGAUUGUUAUAGGUUUUCCUUUCCAAUCAGAAGCCUUUUCCAUAGGUAAGUGAAGUCAGAUAAAGCCAAAGACAGAAGGACUCUGUUCCCAUCUCUCCAUUAACACUUACUUCCUGACAGGAUAACAUGACUCUUUUUUAUGCUUCAGCUUCCUCAUAUGUUGAAAGGAAAUAGGUUAUUUUUAUCUCCCAGUUGGGAUGAUUAGGCAGGAUAAGUGGUGUAGAAGAGAAAAAAAUUACAUUUUUGUAAUUAAUUGUCUUGCAGUCUUUUAUGCCGCCAUGCUGCUGUCCCACUAUGGAGUUAUGAGCACCAUAAAAACCUCAAGAGGAUAUAUCCUUGUCUGAAUUGCUGCAGUUAUUAUCUGUUACAGAAAGUAAAAUAAGGUUUUUGUUUAAGUCUUCUUUUAAUUUAAAAUUGUUGUCUGUAAAUGAAACAUUGUGUUACAUUAAAUAAUUCUACCAUAAACUCUGUUCUACUGAGUUACAGAAACAUUUAAGAAAAUUAGGGUAUGUUCAAUACAGUGGCAUAAUCUUUUGGAAGACAGUAAUAAUGAGUACAUAGGAAGGACUAAUGAAUUGGAUUUAGCCUUGACGUAACUCAUAAAUCUUCAUCAACGAUUCUCCAUCAUAAUUGUCCCAGUGAGUUGUACCAAUUAAUUGUAUUUUGUAAACUAUCCAGUUCAAGGAAGUCUGAACACAGGACAAUAUUAAUUGAUUUCAUAGUAUUCAAAUAUGUAGAGAUUUUAUUUAAGAAAGAAAGUUUUGAAAUUUUGAGUUUAAUCUUGUAUAUUUUCAAUGAUCUGCAGCAUGAUAUUUAAGAGAAAAGGGUUAAGAAAAUAUAAGAAAAAAACUUCAAGAAAUUUGAACAUCUUGAGAUCCUGAACAAUUUGAGAUCUUGAGAUGUUGUGUGUCACAUCAGAAGCAAUUAUUAUUGGCAGGUUCAAAAUCUAUCUCAAAUAUCUAUAUAAAGAACUAUCUGUCUGAAUUGAAUAUUGUCUUUUGAAAUGUGUCCUCUGUUAUUUUAGAGUGUUUCCUGUAACCUUCUAAUUUUUUUUUUUUACUUUAAACAUAUAUGAGGAGAACACACUCAAGUCUUUCAUUUUGAAGGAAUUGUCUUCUGACUUCAUGACUCCGUUCUGUGCCACAGGUCUAUGCAAACGUGUAAAACUCCUCAAGUCCGAAUGGAGAAGUAGAGAAAGGAGGUUUCUGCUGUGCCUGAUGACAAUUUUUGUUUUUUCCACACACAAAAAAUAUUCUGGCUCCACGUUGGGGCACUAGUUGUGAUGAAUCCUAGUCUUGGUCGGAUUCUAAGGAAGGGCCAGAACGUUCGUUGAGGAAUAAAGACUCAAACCACUCCAGAAAAUGUGUUCCAGCCCCGGUUUAUUACUCACAGAACAGCAGGUAACCCGAUAGCUAAAGACAAAUCAAGCCAGUCUCAAGGCUGAUAACAUUAAAUACAACACAUAGGAAUUUCAUUCAUCCAGGCAAUCCUUGAAGUGAAAUUUUAUACUGCUGGGGUGUAUCCUUCAGAAUCAACUGUUUCAAUGAGAGCCUGGCUUGCAAUCAGCAACAGCCUUGAGAUCAAAACUACUGGAAAGUUAUUUUGAACUUCUGUGUCACAAAUAUUUCAACUGAUUGAACUGUGUACACUUGUAGAAUUACACUUGCUGAGGAAUUUGCAGCUGUAAUCAUGAGCUAAUAUUCUAAAGGUGCAGAAAAGCAGCAAACUUUUGGGUUCUCUGCGGCAGAACAGUGGCUUUUCAUCUUGAAGUCAAACUCUGAAAUGUAUUGGAUCCUUCACUCUGAAAUGAUCCUUGGUCCACUGUUUAGAUUGCUGGUGGGACUGCACACUGCUUUAAUUAAAUUUCUGUUGCAGAAAUUGUCCUCAAGCAUGGCACAGUUUUAGACAUUUUUAUUUGUGUUCUAAUCUUGCAGCUCUCAAAGGUACAUAUUUCAACAUCUUGAAGUUGCUUUGUUAUAGGAAUGGAAUUAUAUAUCCAUUGUUAAUAAUUAUUGUUGACAAGUAAUAGUUAUCUGAAUACAUCAGUCAUAUUAGAAUGUAUAGUCAGGUUGACAUGUUUCCCUAAGGCUAACCAACUACUGCAGCUUAACAGUUAAAGAAAAUAGUGGUCAAAACUCAAUUACCACUUCCAUCAUAAGGCAUUUUAUAUCCUUAAUAUAUGCAUUUCGAUUUAGUUUGAAGGAAAUGGGUGUUCCCAAUAUGUACUUUACUUUCCUAACCUUUAAUUCAUUUAAAUUGAUGGUAAGAAGUCAAUUACAGUAUUUCAUCCCUUUUUUACAAAGAUAAGCAGGGAUGUAAAUGAGUUUUGCAGUUAUGAUAUUGGAUGGUAAUCAUUCAGAAUUUUUGUCUUUUUAUUAAAAAAUAAAAUCUCUUGCUUGAACCUAAAUACUGAUGGAUGCUUAUGUAGAUGUCUGCUCAGUCUGUUUGCCAUAAAGGAAAAAGUCCUAGUGCUCUCCCAGUUUUACACUUCAUGGGUAUUUUGCUUGCAUACAGUCAUCCAAUUCAGAUCUGUUUUGUUAGAAAUUAUUGAACUUUGAAAUGUGUUGUUACAUGAAAAAAAAUCCUCAAUAUUUGAAGGCCUUAAGCAUCUUUGAGCUUUUUUCUAAGUUAUUACAGAAUGUAUAAUUUUAUACUCCAUUUAAUGUAUAUUGGACCAUCUGUAAUGUUGAUACAAAAGAAAUUUGGCAAUUCCUUUUAGUGACACUGCAUAAACACAUUGACUAGAGGGAGUUCUGACUGUAUGCUUUGGUGGAUUGAAAUGAAAGCCACAUGCACUUAAUGGCAGUCAAAAAUACAUAGAAGUAAGCUUGUUUAAGUCUGUGGUUAUCAAACACAGCAAAAAAAAAAACAACCCAAAAAUAGAAAAAAAACCUUAAAUAGAAAGAAAAAAAAGGAAUAGAAAGAAAUGGUUUAAUCAUUACAAGCCAUUGACAUGGCUAGUUUAGUUAUAUAUUAAGUUCUGUGGAUGAACACCCUGGUGAGCUCUGCCUGUCGCUGUAGCCCCUGCUGUUCCAAAACCAUUUCAUUACCUCUGCUGUAUUAUUGCACAGGAGAGCUUAAAUAAAAUAAAUGACUGCUGGGAAUAAAACUGAGAAGUAUAUUCUAUCAUUUUGCUGGGAAAUAAUAAGAAAUAUGUUGACAGAAAAAUAUCUUAUUUUCUGAUUAAAAUUUAAUUAGAAUAAACCGUUUGUAGCAGAAACUAAGUCUCUUGGUAUUUUAGGAUGGAUUAGUAUUAUAUGGAUUUGUGCUAAGAGGUUCAGGAUGGAAGGAACAUCUUAAAGAGGUUGUCUGGGACAGUGCAAAGCGUAAGUGUGCUGUUUUGUAAAAUCUAAAUAUGACCUCUAUUUGGUCGAAAAUCCACAUCAUGCUUCUCAAUAUUUGUUUUCUUUGUUUCCUUGUUCUUAAACAGCGCUGAAAAUACUGUAUUAUAUACAAGUGUAACACAUGCAUACCAAUAAAUGAAAAUAAAUGGAUUUUCAAAUAUACUGAA